UACAGAGGGUGCGAGCGUUAAUCGGAGUUACUGGGCGUAAAGGGCGCGUAGGCGGUUAGUUAAGAUUGGUGUGAAAUCCCUGGGCUUAACCUAGGAACUGCAUCGAUUACUGAUUAGCUAGAGUACUGUAGAGGGUAGUGGAAUUUCCGGUGUAGCGGUGAAAUGCGUAGAGAUCGGAAGGAACACCAGUGGCGAAGGCGGCUACCUGGACAGAUACUGACGCUGAGGCGCGAGAGCGUGGGGAGCAAACAGG
rnacentral:rRNA from 1 species